rnacentral:rRNA from 1 species
GUGGGGAAUCUUAGACAAUGGGCGCAAGCCUGAUCUAGCCAUGCCGCGUGAGCGAUGAAGGCCUUAGGGUUGUAAAGCUCUUUCAGGGGGGAAGAUAAUGACGGUACCCCCAGAAGAAGCCCCGGCUAACUCCGUGCCAGCAGCCGCGGUAAUACGGAGGGGGCUAGCGUUGUUCGGAAUUACUGGGCGUAAAGCGCACGUAGGCGGACCAGAAAGUCAGGGGUGAAAUCCCGGGGCUCAACCCCGGAACUGCCUUUGAAACUCCUGGUCUUGAGGUCGAGAGAGGUGGGUGGAAUUCCGAGUGUAGAGGUGAAAUUCGUAGAUAUUCGGAGGAACACCAGUGGCGAAGGCGGCCCACUGGCUCGAUACUGACGCUGAGGUGCGAAAGCGUGGGGAGCAAACAGGAUUAGAAACCCUGGUAGUCC